GCUGUGAUAUGCAUAUUCAUCAUGUCACCACUUCACCACUACUACUUAAAGGAGAGUUUUCACCAUUUCUCUUCAACAAAACAUUACACACCCUUCUUCUCCUAAAACCCUCAAAUAAUAAUCUUCACCAUCUUAUUACAUUCUACUCAGCUAAAAUGAAGACAAUUAUAUCAGAGAAUGAAGGAAUACCAAAUCUGCCACCAAAGAGAGGGUUGGUUAAGGCCAUGAUCAUCAGUAAAUUCAUCGAUAUGGUAAAAGCUGAUCAUGAGCCCUCUCCCCCUUCUAUAAGCUACUGUCCUAGGAAUGUUUACACCCCAGACGCGAAUUCGGAUCGUAGCAUCAUCAGCUCUCACUAAAUUUAGAGUGUUGCACAACACCAACACAACACAACACAUAGUUUGUACUUCAUAUAGUUUAUGCUUAUAAAAUUAAGUGAUCUUUGGUUUUGUUCUAUCACAGUUUGUUUGGUCCUGUAAUUAUAAUCCUUUGUGUUCUUGUUGGUGAAGAACAGAAGGGUUGUUUAGAGGACUCAAGUAUAAUUCAGCAUGUCCUGUGGUAGUGGUUCUGCUGUUUGUCGUAUGAAACUAUGAAUACACUGUGUACUAAAUUUUUAGUUUGUAUUAGUUCAUGCUUUGUUUUUUCACCUUAUUUCCACUCAUUUCGAAAAAAAUAGUCCAGAUAAGUUUUUCUUCUUGAAGAAGUUCAUUUACGUCCAGAUAAGAUAAAACGGUUAUUGAGUUACUGAAUUGCAGUAUAAGAUCAAAAUAAGUUCAGAUAAAUUAAUAUAUGAUAAGUUAAAAAAAAGUUGAAAACUAGGGAAAUAGUAUGCACUCUGAAGGUGUGUAAUGAAUAAAUGCACCCUAAAAAGACAUGACAUUAUAAUUUUAUUUAUUUUUUUACUGGAAAGGUAAACAAAGAUUUAACAAGCAGUAGAAAAUAUGAAAAAUUUAGUGUCCAAACGUCCACAAAAGGGUCGGUAUGCUGGUGAUUGGAGUUCCAAAGAAGCUACAUAAUCUGUUGCGUGAUUGGCUUCCUUAUAAACAUGUUGAGAUUGAACAGAAUCAAAAUGCUAAAGUAGGUGUUGAUCAUUUAUUAACAGUUGAAUAUUUUACGGACACUAAAAAUGUCCUUGCAAAAUUUUAAUAAUAGGUAUAUUUUCGCCUUCUAAAAAAUGUUUUUAAUAUUAUUAGCAAUUGUUAGAAGCAAUCCAUUCCUAAGUGGAGUGACUAGUGAGUGGGCCUUGCUAAAAGUGGCGAACAUAAGGGCCUAAAAUAGACAAGUUCAAAGGAGGUUCCACCUUAAAACCAUAUGGCAAUAAGGGGAGUAGUCUCUUGACCUUAUUAAGUGUUUAACUCUCUUAUCUUUUAUCAGUGUGGGACUCUCAGAUCUAUCCGUUAUUGAAACGGGCUAACCCGUUAUUCACAGACCCUAAACCUCCGUGUCAUACAAGUAGAGCCAUUACAUAGUUUGGUCUCACGCAGGAACGGCCGAACUGGGAAACAGGAGAAGAGAGAUGUGGCGAAGCAUAGCAUCAAGAUGUUCCCUGAUGAACAAAAGUUCAAAACCAAAACCAAGAUUAUUAUUUUGUUUGGAAGAACCUCCGUUUCAGAGCUUUCUCACUUUGAUCAGUAUAAGUAUUUCGAAUGGGCUCUUUCUAGAGAUGAUUUCGAGAUCACUGAUUUAUUGUUAGAUGGCAUUACCUAUAUGUUAACAAGAUCUGUUUUAACAAGACCAGAACCGUGUAUGGUGUGGCACUGUGAAUCUGAUAAACGAUGGUUGGAUCUUUCAUGGAAUCUUGUUAAAAGCGACAAUUGGUACUUUGAGCUUCCAUAGCCGCAGCUGCAGCACCGGUGUCAUUCUUGGUUUGUGUAGAAAAGGCGACAUAGAAAGAGCAAAUCAGGUGGUCAUCGGGAUGUUACUGGAAGGACAGUCUCCUGAGUUUCAAGCCUUUUACCAUCUCAUCAUAUCUUUAUGUAGAGCUGGAAAUAUGGAAUAUGCAUUGGAGCUGUUAAAACUUAGGGAGGAACAGAGUGGUUAGUGGUUAUGGUAGGAUGGAACAAGCUAAUCAAAUGGCUACCUCAUCCUCUUUUCUCUCCCUCUAAUUUUAUGGCGUUUCUCGACAACUUCAGAAUGUUGUGGUCAUGAAUCCACACAUCAUCUUCAUUUUUUAGGGCAUAAAAUUUUACUUCUAGAUUUCUUAAUCUUGGCAAUAGUGUGAAAGUAUUUAUUAUUCCAAUCAGCAUACUUUCUCCAA